AAUAUUGCACAAUGGAGGGAACUCUGAUGCAGCAACGCCGCGUGAGUGAAGAAGGUUUUCGGAUCGUAAAACUCUGUCAUUGGGGAAGAAUAAAUGACGGUACCCAAUGAGGAAGCCCCGGCUAACUACGUGCCAGCAGCCGCGGUAAUACGUAGGGGGCGAGCGUUGUCCGGAAUUACUGGGCGUAAAGGGUACGUAGGCGGCUAUAUAAGUCAGGGGUGAAAUACCAGGGCUUAACACUGGAAUUGGAUUUGAAACUGUGUAGCUUGAGUGCAGGAGAGGAAAGGUGAAUUCCUAGUGGAGCGGUGAAAUGCGUAGAGAUUAGGAGGAACACCAGGGGCGAAGGCGGCUUUCUGGACCGUAACCGACGCUGAGGUACGAAAGCGUGGGUAGCGAACA
rnacentral:rRNA from 1 species